rnacentral:rRNA from 1 species
CUGUGGCUGGGGGUGAAAGGCCAAUCAAACCGGGAGAUAGCUGGUUCUCCCCGAAAGCUAUUUAGGUAGCGCCUCGUGAAUUCAUCUCCGGGGGUAGAGCACUGUUUCGGCUAGGGGGCCAUCCCGGCUUACCAACCCGAUGCAAACUGCGAAUACCGGAGAAUGUUAUCACGGGAGACACACGGCGGGUGCUAACGUCCGUCGUGAAGAGGGAAACAACCCAGACCGCCAGCUAAGGUCCCAAAGUCAUGGUUAAGUGGGAAACGAUGUGGGAAGGCCCAGACAGCCAGGAUGUUGGCUUAGAAGCAGCCAUCAUUUAAAGAAAGCGUAAUAGCUCACUGGUCGAGUCGGCCUGCGCGGAAGAUGUAACGGGGCUAAACCAU